CUGAUGUUGGUCCUGUGUUUACUCUGGUGAGCAUUCAUGCGGUUCGCACCAGAGUUCCCUUACAAGCAAACAGAGACCCUCCUUUCCAAGUGGACCAGAGUUUAUUUGUGUGGUCCGCAUCAGAGUUCAGCUGGACUUUCACACCUGCUCAAACGAAGGAAACAAACUCUGGUCCAGACCGAACAGCUCUGGUGUGAAAGCGACCUCUUGUAGGAUGGUCACUGUUACGUUGUUUUGUUUUGUUGUUUGUUUUUUUGCUUCAGGAUAUCGAUCUUGGCCUUGAUGAGACCUUUGACGUUGACCUGGAUAGGUGCUAGCGCUGGGGUUUUGGUCUGUUGUGAAGACAUUGGUUUCACAUAAAGGGCACGCAACCUUGCAUUUCACUUCUCUCAGGGGAGGCCCCGUGGAGGCUGUCUUCUUCUCCGAUGCUGCAAUGCAGAGGUGGGUUCUAGCAGACAGCGCCUACUGUGAAUGCGGAGACCCACUAAAGACCGUGGAACAUGUGAUGACCACAUAUACCGGCCACCAAAUACUGAUCGUGGCCUAAUCGACCUGGACGAUGACACGUUGGAUUGGCUUGCUGCAAUGGAGCUGAAGUUCUAGGGACAUAUGCAAGAAGAAGAAGGCUUCCCCGGCUCCCAGUACAGGUAAACAGAGGGAGGGGUCUACCUCUUUGCAAACAGGACCAGGUGCAGGUGCAGGCUGUGCAACGAUGCCCCCACGAGACCAUCUGUGCAGAUUACGGCUCAGAAGUCCCCGAUGGGACAUGCAACCGAAAGAGGUUCAGAACAUCCGAGAGAAUACCUACAAGUGAGACUUGGAGUUCGAGACUGAGAAGCAGCUGCCGACUGGUGAACGAUGAGCAGUUGUGGCCGUGAUAGAUGCAGCGUUCUCAGCUGACUGCAAUGUCGGGAAGACGGAGCGCGGAAGGGAAGUACUGACGGGAAAGGAUGUGGAGCGUAACUGAGUCUUUGCAGUCCAGCGAGAAGCUUAGAUCCUGCACAGCACCUUAGGCCUCUGGUAUGGUGACGCACUGGGUUGAAUCUCAGUAAAACCUGUUUACUGCACCUGCAUCUUUUCUUUCACGCAACGCCGUUCAUCAUAAAUCUUCAAUGAGCACGUCGGCAAUCCACAACGGGAGGGAAACUGAUCAGCGGUAUCUCAUCUGCAAACCGCCGCAGCGGAAGCUCGAGUGUUGCCACAUCGCAUGUCCUUUAUUGGUUUUUUCAGGAAUGAGGAAGUGUGUGAGGCAGCAUCUUUACGGGAAGGCAGCGAGCGAGGGAGGGAGGGGCGAAUGGGAAUGCACGUGGGCGGGGAGGUUAUGACAAAUAUUUGUUAAGACAGGAAGAGCGGGACGAGAAGAAGGCGAAGUACAAAGGUGAAAAAACUUUAAUUACAUUGGAGGCCCGGGUAAUCGCAUUUCUCGUCUUACUCACACUGCGGUCGGUUUGCCGCGUUCCCACCCAGAUUUCACAUCAUUAUUGUUCCUGUGUUACUACUUGCAUCCUCUUGGCAAACUUGUGGUUAUUAUGAAAGCAUGUGUUAGUUGGCAAAAGGCUGAGUUAUUCAUCUACUUUAGUUUGGGGCAACGUUACACUGUGUUCUUUAUUUUUUUUCGAAACGUCAUCAAAAGAGAAUGUGCUCCAGUUUUAGGAAACAGACAGAAUCUCCACCUCUUUAAUCCCUGUGUGAAAAUAAUCAAGUCCUCUCUACUUUAGCCCUGCAUCCUAUUUUUUUUUUUUAGGUCCAAAUCUGGUGUCGGUGUGUCUGUUCUCUCGCUCGCUGACAGGGGAGGGGAGGCUGACCUUUUCUCUUAAAGGACGUGGCAGCAGCCGGUGCGCUGUGUAAUGUGGUGAGUCAGCCCAAGAGGAAUGUGGUGCCCCCCCCUUUUCCUUUUCCUCCCUCCUCCCUCCUCCCUCCUCCCACCCCCAACAUCUCCUGGAAACCCUGCGCAGGUUCUCACAGAGCGAUGGAGCGUUUACAGAGUAAUAACCUCUGCGGCUGCUAACCCACAUUUCUCUCUUUUU